UACAGAGGGGGCAAGCGUUAUUCGGAAUUAUUGGGCGUAAAGGGCGCGUAGGCGGCUUUGCAAGUGACGGGUGAAAUCCCUCGGCUUAACCGAGGAACUGCCUGUCAGACUGCAUGGCUUGAGACCGGGAGAGGAGACUGGAAUUCAUGGUGUAGCAGUGAAAUGCGUAGAGAUCAUGAGGAAGACCAGUGGCGAAGGCGGGUCUCUGGACAGUUCCUGACACUGAGGCACGAAGGCCAGGGGAGCAAACGGG
rnacentral:rRNA from 1 species